rnacentral:rRNA from 1 species
CCUUAUUAAAAGGACAGCCUCAACGCGACCCCAGGUCAGGCGGGAUUACCCGCUGAAUUUAAGCAUAUCAAUAAGCGG